rnacentral:rRNA from 1 species
AGCGUAGACGGUGUGGCAAGUCUGAUGUGAAAGGCAUGGGCUCAAUCUGUGGACUGCAUUGGAAACUGUCAUACUUGAGUGCCGGAGGGGUAAGCGGAAUUCCUAGUGUAGCGGUGAAAUGCGUAGAUAUUAGGAGGAACACCAGUGGCGAAGGCGGCUUACUGGACGGUAACUGACGUUGAGGCUCGAAAGCGUGGGAGCAAACA